rnacentral:rRNA from 1 species
CUGACGCAGCGACGCCGCGUGAGUGAGGAAGGCCUUCGGGUCGUAAAGCUCUGUCAAAGGGGAAGAAGUGUAUAGCGGUUAAUACCUGUUAUAUUUGACGGUACCCUUAAAGGAAGCACCGGCUAACUCCGUGCCAGCAGCCGCGGUAAUACGGAGGGUGCAAGCGUUGUUCGGAAUUACUGGGCGUAAAGGGCGCGUAGGCGGCUUGGUAAGUCAGAUGUGAAAGCCCACGGCUUAACCGUGGAAGUGCAUUUGAUACUGCUAGGCUUGAGUACCAGAGGGGAAAGUGGAAUUCCCGGUGUAGAGGUGAAAUUCGUAGAUAUCGGGAGGAAUACCGGUGGCGAAGGCGACAACGGCGAGUACUGACGCUGAGGCGCGAAACUGGGGAGCAAACAGGAUUAGAUACCUGGUAGUCCACGCAGUAACGAUGUCACUAGAUGUAGG